rnacentral:rRNA from 1 species
GGGAACGUAUUACCGCGACAUGCUGAUCCGCGAUUACUAGCGAUUCCGACUUCAUGCAGUCGAGUUGCAGACUGCAAUCCGGACUACGACCGGCUUUUAUGGGGAUUGGCUCCAGCUCGCGCUUUGGCAACCCUCUGUACCGGCCAAUUGUAUGACGUGUGAAGCCCUACCCAUAAGGGCCAUGAGGACUUGACGUCAUCCCCACCUUCCUCCGGUUUGUCACCGGCAGUCUCCCUAGAGUGCCCUUGCGUAGCAACUAGGGACAAGGGUUGCGCUCGUUGCGGGACUUAACCCAACAGCUCACGACACGAGCUGACGACAGCCAUGCAGCACCUUGUGUCCAGGUUCCCUUUCGGGCACCGCCGCAUUUCUGCAGCGUUCCUGGCAUGUCAAGGGUAG